ACCCCAAACUCUCAGGGCCAUUCCAAGGUCCAGAUCUGGUCAAGGAAUUUCAAGACAUCUGCCAAAUGGAUAUCAACAUUGAAACACCCCAUUGCAUUCGCGCAUGAUGAAUUUUUUCCCCGCCAAAUAUCCUGUUAUCGUGAGACCCGAAGCCCAAAGUAAUGGCAGUUAUUGACUGCUGGGAACAGACCGGCUGAUGAUUUUUUUUUUUUUUUCGAAGAAUGGCGUACGAAAUUUAUGCCAAUGUGUUUUGAUCCCGUGGAUGAUGAAACAUGCUAUCACUAUUGGCUUUACUUCGUUUUAUUUACCAUCAUGUAGUCAAAGCAUAGCAUCUUAACGCUAUUAUGAGCUUCCUGAACAUGAUUGUAUUGUACCAUCGGCAAAUGGAUCCCUCUGCCCAGCUCUGUCAAGUUCUAUCAUUAGGGAUCUGGGUGAACCAGCAUCACCAUGUUUGUUUUCACUAGCUAAUGGUUUCAGCUCCCUUGCUCCGCGGACCCUGAUAAGCACCACCUCAAGAACAAGGUGAGCAAUCUCACGGCCCACUGAUCCUCCGGUACUUUUGACCCUUAAUUAAGCAUUACCCUCAUCAAACCUAGGGCUACAGGGUUGGACAGUUAGCUAGGAGGCCAAAAAGCAAGUGGUAAAGGCCACCAUUUCUGCCCCUGGCUUACCGUCACAUCGUUAAAGAGCCUCAAUAUAUAUAUUCCGAUACUAAUUUAUAUCACUUUUUACACUGAAGUGUGAAAUGAUAUAUUGAUUUUAAAUAACUAAGACAAUAUCUAUCAGAAUUACCUAUUCUUCCUUAUCUCUCUAGUAUAUAGCGUUUUCCAAGCCUUC
rnacentral:sRNA from 2 species